rnacentral:rRNA from 1 species
UACGUAGGGUGCGAGCGUUAAUCGGAAUUACUGGGCGUAAAGCGUGCGUAGGCGGUUCGUUAAGUUCGUUGUGAAAGCCCCGGGCUCAACCUGGGAACUGCAAUGGAAACUGGCGGGCUUGAGUGUGGCAGAGGGGGGCGGAAUUCCGCGUGUAGCAGUGAAAUGCGUAGAGAUGCGGAGGAACACCGAUGGCGAAGGCAGCCCCCUGGGCCAACACUGACGCUCAGGCACGAAAGCGUGGGGAGCAAACAGG